rnacentral:rRNA from 1 species
ACUCAAAGGAAUAGACGGGGGCCCGCACAAGCGGUGGAGCAUGUGGUUUAAUUCGACGCAACGCGAAGAACCUUACCAGCCCUUGACAUGGGAGUUAUGGGUCUCAGAGAUGGGAUCCUUCGGUUCGGCCGGGCUCCACACAGGUGCUGCAUGGCUGUCGUCAGCUCGUGUCGUGAGAUGUUGGGUUAAGUCCCGCAACGAGCGCAACCCUCAUCUUCAGUUGCCAUCGGUACGGCCGGGCACUCUGAAGAAACCGCCGGUGACAAGCCGGAGGAAGGUGGGGAUGACGUCAAGUCCUCAUGGCCCUUACGGGCUGGGCUACACACGUGCUACAAUGGUGGUGACAGUGGGAUGCAAAGGGGCGACCCCCAGCUAAUCUCCAAAAGCCACCUCAGUUCGGAUUGCACUCUGCAACUCGAGUGCAUGAAGUCGGAAUCGCUAGUAAUCGCGGAUCAGCACGCCGCGGUGAAUACGUUCCCGGGCCUUGCACACACCGCCCGU